rfam:Macrococcus caseolyticus JCSC5402 DNA, complete genome.
UCUGGUGACGAUGGCAGAGAGGUCACACCUGUUCCCAUACCGAACACAGAAGUUAAGCUCUCUAGCGCCGAUGGUAGUUGGUCUUACGAUCCGCGAGAGUAGGACGUUGCCGGGC